ACUCAAAUGAAUAGACGGGGGCCCGCACAAGCGGUGGAGCAUGUGGAUUAAUUCGACACAAACCGAAGAACCUUACCAGGGCUUGACAUGCCCGGACCGCCCGUGAAAGCGGGUUUUCCGCCGGGAAACCGGGGGACCGGGACACAGGUGUUGCAUGGCUGUCGUCAGCUCGUGUCGUGAGAUGUUGGGUUAAGUCCCGCAACGAGCGCAACCCUCACCGUCGGUUGCCAGCAUGAAAGAUGGGCACUUUGACGGAACUGCCCCGGCAACGGGGAGGAAGGUGGGGAUGAUGUCAAGUCGGCAUGGCCCGUAUGUCCUGGGCUUCUCACAUGCUACAAUGGGGGGGACAGAGGGCUGCGAGACCGCGAGGUGGAGCCAAUCCCAAAAACCCCUCCCCAGUUCGGAUUGCAGGCUGCAACUCGCCUGCAUGAAGCCGGAAUCGCUAGUAACCGCCGGUCAGCCAAACGGCGGUGAAUACGUACCCGGGCCUUGUACACACCGCCCGU
rnacentral:rRNA from 1 species